CCACCGCUCGUAGAGUGGUGUUGUCGCCGCCGCUGCUGCUGCCGCCGCCGCCGUCGUCGUCUCCAUCGUGUGGUGGUGCGAUCGAAUAUCGAAAUCGAAUCUCGCGAAUUUUAAUAAAAAUCGUGUGGCCGUCGUCUGCGUACGGUGUGUGUGUGUGUGUAGUGUGUGUGUAAUAAUAUUGUCGCCUGUGUGUAUAAAAUAUAUAUGUAAUAUGGAUAUAAUAUGAUAUAUAUAUAUAUAUUAAAUUAUAUAUAUAUAUAUAUAUUUAUUUAUUAUACGUAUGUACAUGUAUAGCUGUAUACAAUACAUGUAUUAUAUAAUAUAUUCUACGCGUAUAAUUAGCGACAUUUUAAUAUAUUCGCAUAUGAAUAUUAUAAGUAUAAACACACACAAUAAUAUAUAAUAUUUUAAUACUAAUAAAAAAAAACACAGCGGUCUAUAAGUGCGUGUGCUCUGGCCUCCGCCCCGCCGCCGCCGCCGUCGCAGCCGCAACCGCCGCGAAAACAGCAGCAGCAGACGCCCUCACGCCGGAAAUCCACAAAAAUAGGCUGGCCUAAUGUUAUGGGGUGUUUUGGUAGCGCCGCGGCCAAGACGGAUCACGACGAUGCGAAAAAGGGCAAGGAGACGAACAAAAAGAUAAACCAGCAGCUGCAGAAGGACAAACAGGUGUACAGGGCCACGCACAGAUUACUGUUGUUGGGUGCUGGAGAGUCCGGUAAAAGCACAAUUGUCAAACAAAUGCGAAUAUUGCAUGUCAAUGGAUUUAGUGAAGAAGAAAAGAAGCAAAAGAUUGAAGACAUAAAAAAAAACAUUAGAGAUGCCAUUUUGACAAUUACAGGAGCCAUGAGUACUCUGACUCCACCAGUACAAUUAGAACAUCCUGAAAAUCAACUCAGAGUCGAUUAUAUGCAAGAUGUCGCCUCUCAACACAAUUUUGAAUACACGACAGAGUUUUAUGAACACACAGAAAAACUGUGGAAGGAUAAAGGUGUUCAAACUUGUUUUGAAAGGUCCAACGAAUAUCAACUCAUCGACUGUGCAAAAUAUUUUCUCGAUCAAGUACACAUUAUUAAGCAACCUAAUUAUACGCCUUCAGAACAAGAUAUACUUAGAUGCCGUGUUUUAACUUCUGGUAUAUUUGAAACGCGGUUUCAAGUUGAAAAGGUCAAUUUUCAUAUGUUUGAUGUGGGAGGUCAGAGGGACGAAAGGCGUAAAUGGAUUCAGUGUUUCAAUGAUGUCACUGCCAUCAUAUUUGUAACUGCCUGUAGUAGUUACAAUAUGGUCCUACGUGAAGACCCCACUCAAAAUCGGCUCCGUGAGUCGUUAGACCUUUUCCGAAGCAUUUGGAACAACAGGUGGUUGAGAACGAUAUCGGUGAUAUUGUUUUUAAAUAAACAAGACUUGUUGGCCGAAAAAAUUAAGGCUGGUAAAUCGCGACUAGAAGAUUAUUUUGCCGAAUUUACCCGUUACCAAACGCCAAUGGAUGCUACUCCUGAUCCGGGAGAAGAUCCUCCAGUCAUUCGCGCCAAAUAUUUCAUCAGAGAUGAGUUCCUUCGUAUCAGUACUGCCAGUGGCGAAGGUAAACAUUAUUGUUAUCCACAUUUCACCUGCGCUGUUGACACUGAAAACAUUAGGCGCGUGUUCAAUGACUGUCGCGACAUCAUACAGAGGAUGCACCUGCGUCAGUACGAGUUGCUAUGAUCUCUCCCCUACCCACUCGCAUACAUAGACAGGUUGUUUAAAUUAUUCUAAAACAACCUAUCACGAGAUGAAAUGUAUACAAAUCUCUAAAAAUCUAAUUGCAUUUCAACAUUUUGCUAAGUAUUUAACACAUGUGUGAUAUAAAUAUAAAUAUAUUAAUUCUAUGGAAACUGGAAUAAUUUUCUUUUUAUGCUGACGACUUAUGUAAUUUGAUUAUAUUGUAUGGUUCUUUUAAUCUCACUCGUAUGCAUUUUGAUAAUAAUUCUAAACAUUACCACAGACCAUGUUGUGUGUUAAUUAUUUCAGUUAUUGUUCACAUAUAGCCUAUUUGUUUUGCCAAAAAAUUAAACAAUACAUAUCUAGAUUUUAGACAACUUUCGACAAUUGUAGGUAUAUCUAUACAUGUUCGGCUAGUCACAGUUAUUUAUAUAAAUUUAUAGAAUUUAUUGACUGGUUGGCAUAAAAUAAUUUAUUAUUAUUUAUAUUUAAUUUUUAAACCGUUUCUGACUUAAGUGAUUUAAAAAAUAUUUAAAUAAAAUAACAAGCCAAAUUCAAAUUACGUCCUAGUCCUAUGGCAUUAUUGUUCAUAAUUAUUUUAAAGAAAAAAUAUCUUCACCAUUUGGUUUUUUGUUAUGUAUAUAAAUAUAUAGUUUGUUCUGUUUCAGUAUAAUUUUGACAUUAUCUAAUGUAAAUAAUAACAUUGAACACAUUAGUUUUUGAUUGCAUAUAUGCUGUAAUAAUUGCAAAGUUCCAUUUGUUUCGAAAUAAUAAAAAAGAAUAAUAAUUUUAAAAAACGCACAACCAAAAAUAUGAUAUGUAUAAUUU